GACGAACGCUGGCGGCGUGCUUAACACAUGCAAGUCGAACGGAAAGGCCCUGCUUUUGUUGGGUGCUCGAGUGGCGAACGGGUGAGUAACACGUGAGUAACCUGCCCUUGACUUUGGGAUAACUUCAGGAAACUGGGGCUAAUACCGGAUAGGAGCUCCUGCUGCAUGGUGGGGGUUGGAAAGUUUCGGCGUUUGGGGAUGGACUCGCGGCUUAUCAGCUUGUUGGUGGGGUAGUGGCUUACCAAGGCUUUGACGGGUAGCCGGCCUGAGAGGGGGACCGGCCACCAUGGGACUGAGGUACGGACCAGACGCGUACGGGAGGCAGCAGGGGGAAAUAUUGCACAACGGGCGGAAGCCUGAGGCAGAAACGUCGCGUGCGGGAUGACGGCUUUCGGGUGGUGAACCGCUUUCGCCUGAGACGAAGCGGGAGUGACGGUAAUGGGUAAAGAAGCACCGGCUAACUACGUG
rnacentral:rRNA from 1 species